CCUCUGAGAAGCGUUGUGUGUCUAAAGGGUGAUUCAUUCAUCCAGCUGGAUCUCUUUGUGGGGAUUUUCCGACAACCAUAUGUAGGGGAGGAGGAAGAAGGACUUUAGACCCCUGACAUGGAAGACAAUUCUGGCAUGAGGAGAGACAGUUUUUCUGGUACAAGCAGAGGGGUAUGAAAUAAGGAGGGAGUUCUCAGAAGUGGCAACUAGAUCUCCUGCUAACAGCCAGAAGGAACUGGCCGGAAAGCUACUGGCCUCUCUUCUUCUUCACAUCUAAAGAAUUGUACGACUUUGAGGAAUUCAGCAUGUUGUAAGAGUUAAGCUAAUUUCCUUCCGUGAGCUGGUUCAUUUGGGAUUUAAUCGCUGCUGGGUAGCCGGAAAUGACUACGUGUCACAAGAUGAUAAUUUACUGAAAUCUGACAUGAUCUAGCAUGCAGAGAAUUCAUCAGAUAGAGUCAAGAAUUGAAAAUAUCUGCCUCAAAGCCUACCACACUGAUCUCAUCAUAGGGAGAAAUAUGACUUGAGUAAGCUGUGAGCUUGAAUCUUUGUGACGAUUAUCAAAUCAUAUACGGUCGAAUUGUAUACAACAAAUAAAUUAGAACAUCAAAAAUAAAAGCUUUUGGAAUGUAA